rnacentral:rRNA from 1 species
UACGUAGGGGGCUAGCGUUGUCCGGAUUUAUUGGGCGUAAAGAGCGUGUAGGCGGCCAGGUAGGUCUGCUGUGAAAACUCGAGGCUUAACCUCGAGAUGUCGGCGGAAACCAUCUGGCUAGAGUCCGGAAGAGGAGAGUGGAAUUCCUGGUGUAGCGGUGAAAUGCGCAGAUAUCAGGAAGAACACCGAUGGCGAAGGCAGGUCUCUGGGCCACUACUGACGCUGAGAAGCGAAAGCAUGGGGAGCGAACAGG